rnacentral:rRNA from 1 species
GACGAACGCUGGCGGCGUGCUUAACACAUGCAAGUCGAACGAAGAGCGAUGGAAGCUUGCUUCUCUCAAUCUUAGUGGCGAACGGGUGAGUAACGCGUAAUCAACCUGCCCUUCAGAGGGGGACAACAGUUGGAAACGACUGCUAAUACCGCAUACGAUCUAAUCUCGGCAUCGAGGAUAGAUGAAAGGUGGCCUCUACAUGUAAGCUAUCACUGAAGGAGGGGAUUGCGUCUGAUUAGCUAGUUGGAGGGGUAACGGCCCACCAAGGCGAUGAUCAGUAGCCGGUCUGAGAGGAUGAACGGCCACAUUGGGACUGAGACACGGCCCAGACUCCUACGGGAGGCAGCAGGGGGGAAUCUUCCGCAAUGGACGAAAGUCUGACGGAGCAACGCCGCGUGAGUGAUGACGGCCUUCGGGUUGUAAAGCUCUGUUAAUCGGGACGAAAGGCCUUCUUGCGAAUAGUGAGAAGGAUUGACGGGACCGGAAUAGAAAGCCACGGCUAACGACG